rnacentral:lncRNA from 1 species
UGAUGUGUUGCAAUGUGACGCAACACAUGAUUUAGUUUGAAAGUUAACAUACACAUUAAAGAACAAUAAAAAAGGAAGCGUGAAUGUCAUCAAGUUAAUAUGUGUUAAACAUCAUGAUUCAAGAGACGAUCUAUGAAAAUCACUAGUCUUAUCUCCCAUUGCACUAGUAUUGUAUGCCUAAACACAAUGAAAUUGAUAGUGGUUGGUUGUCCUUGUGAUUCCAAUCCAUAUAAUGUUGUCUCAUACUAGUAUUGUAUGCCUCAAACAGUAAACACAUUGAAAUCCACAUCAUUGUUGUCUCAAACUAUUCACCUGCAUAUGCAUGUUCAUGAAUAUUGAGAUACUCAUUGAGAUAUUGUAAGCAACUAAAAUAUAAUGAAAAUAGACUCCAGAAACUUUGGGAUAUUGUUGUUUCUUUUUGUGCAUUAGUAGUUAUGAACUUGUGAUAUAAAUUACAGAUAUAAAUUGAUAGGGUCGCAAAGGAUUUGUGUAGGGUUUAUGUUUCUUUAAAGAAUUGGAGUAAUCAGUGAGUGAAACUAAGGAAGUGUCGCAAAGGAUACUGGAAAAAAUUUAUUUGACCAUCAUAGAAUGUUCAUAUAUAAGUUCGUAUUUCAAUAGACUACAUUAGAUAUUUGAUAUACAUUUAAUGAGAUCUAGAUUUCAAGUGUAUUAGAUAAAUGCUUUGGAAAAUUUCUUAUUAGAUACUUUGAAAAAUUUCAAUUGUAAAUUGUGUUUUUUUUACUAUGGGCCCAUUUGGUUGUGCAUUUUAAGGCCAAUUUCUGCUCUUUUCACUGUUAUCACAUUUUUAUCUGUUUGGUAAAUUUUUAAUUCAGCGUUUUUUUUUCCCAUUGCGUCCCGAAACCACAAAAUUAGAAAACAGGUGCUAACAUGCUUUUUUUUAUCGCCGUUUGCUGAAUGCGAAGAGGGAAGCUGCUCCUUUAAUUACUUUCUCAACAUCCCUAAAACACCCUCAUUGGAUUUCCUAAAUGACACAUCAUGUCCCUUUCAUCUAGAUAUAUCUUUCUUCUCAUGUGUUCUUCUUCUCCGACUGUUCUUCAUUCUCCAUGGACUUAAGGUGACUGAAAUUUUGCUGGGUAAUCCUGGGUAUCAGAGAUUUAGAGUCACAUGGCUAAUCUUAUAUAUUAUAUAUGGUUAAUUCCCCACUCAAUUUUUUUCUUUUUCGUUCUUCCCCUCACAGCCUCACUUUUCAAGUUCCAAACUUUUUAUAGUUUAAUUUUGGGGCUGUUUAUCUUUAGUUAAUAAAAUCUUUCUUCAAU